GGAUGUGAGGGUGAUCUGGCUGCAACAUCUGUCACCCCGUUGGUUGCCAGGGUUGAUUCGGCUGAUCUGGCUGGCUAGGCAGGGGUCUCCUUCUCCCGCAGUGCUCCCUGAGGCUAUGUACUUGGUUGAAGUGGACGACCACCCCCGAUAGAUGAGGGCUGUUUUCUUGGCCAAAGGUGUACAAAUAGCUGCUCUCUACUGCUAGGACCUCCAAACAAACUGUCAAGAUACAAACAUCCCCCGUGUCUUUGGGCCUGUGAGACUGUCACCUUCAUGUGUUUUGCCCUUUGCCUCUUUCUGCAGCAAAGCGGU
rnacentral:snRNA from 1 species